UGUUCGUCCACCUGACUCCUGCCUUCACCGCGGGAUCCCUUGUGCUGUUUUGGCCUCCUUCCUGCUGUGCACGCAUCCAGUGAUAUUCCUGGACUGCUGUCGGCUGCUGAACAUGGGCCUCAUAACCGACCUCAGCUGAUUGCAGAGCUUGCGAUAACACAAGGAGCGGCAACAUCAAGGCUACCUUGGUUCAAGUUCCGAACGCUGCUGUUUUGUUUUCACCUAAGUUGUGAUGGUCGAUUUUACAUGUUUUGUUUAUUGCAUGUUUGCAUACAUUUUAACUUUCACACAGGAGAAGAACUGUAUACCGACGGACGCUCUCGUCCAGUAGGCCUUAACUACUGUAUAAACUACGAUGUUCACCACACUAUUUGUGUGUGCAUACUGUGCAGUGUGCGUAUUGGCGCUUCCUUUUGAUUUUCCCCUCUUGCCAGGACAGGAGCUGCAGGCCAACUGGGGUGGCGGGUUAUCUCGAGGUGGUGGCGUCCCUUCACCUUUCCUGCUGUGGUGCAUUUGAAAACUUGCUAUUGACAUGUUCACGUGUGGUGUGUCUGUAGACCCUCCCUCUGAUAAACCCUCCAGCCCUGUUCCUGGCUCCUCUCAUCCCUCAGCCAGUAAUCUAAUGAGCACAUUCUAGUGUGUGUGUG